rnacentral:rRNA from 1 species
GGAGGGUGCAAGCGUUAAUCGGAAUUACUGGGCGUAAAGCGUGCGUAGGCGGUCACGUGUGUCGGAUGUGAAAGCCCCGGGCUCAACCUGGGAAUUGCAUUCGAAACUGCGUGACUCGAGUGUGGUAGAGGAAGAUGGAAUUCCACGUGUAGCGGUGAAAUGCGUAGAUAUGUGGAGGAACACCGAUGGCGAAGGCAGUCUUCUGGGCCAACACUGACGCUGAGGCACGACAGCGUGGGUAGCAAACAGGAUUAGAUACCCUGGUAGUCCACGCCGUAAACGAUGAGAACUAGACGUUGGUUGGUCUAACCGAUCAGUGUCGCAGUUAACGCGUUAAGUUCUCCGCCUGGGGAGUACGGCCGCAAGGUUG